rnacentral:ncRNA from 1 species
CAGCCGGGAGAGAGUAUUUAAGUGUUUACUUAGUGCCGCCGAAGGAGCAACGACCCCGCAAACUCUCAGGCAAAAGGACCGGUGGC